GGGUUGUGAGGUUAAGCGACUAAGCGUACACGGUGGAUGCCCUGGCAGUCAGAGGCGAUGAAGGACGUGCUAAUCUGCGAUAAGCGCCGGUAAGGUGAUAUGAACCGUUAUAACCGGCGAUUUCCGAAUGGGGAAACCCAGUGUGACUCGUCACACUAUCAUUAACUGAAUCCAUAGGUUAAUGAGGCGAACCGGGGGAACUGAAACAUCUAAGUACCCCGAGGAAAAGAAAUCAACCGAGAUUCCCCCAGUAGCGGCGAGCGAACGGGGAGGAGCCCAGAGCCUGAAUCAGCAUGUGUGUUAGUGGAAGCGUCUGGAAAGGCGCGCGAUACAGGGUGACAGCCCCGUACACAAAAGCGCAUGUGCUGUGAGCUCGAUGAGUAGGGCGGGACACGUGGUAUCCUGUCUGAAUAUGGGGGGACCAUCCUCCAAGGCUAAAUACUCCUGACUGACCGAUAGUGAACCAGUACCGUGAGGGAAAGGCGAAAAGAACCCCGGCGAGGGGAGUGAAAAAGAACCUGAAACCGUGUACGUACAAGCAGUGGGAGCACCCUUUGGGGGUGUGACUGCGUACCUUUUGUAUAAUGGGUCAGCGACUUAUAUUCUGUAGCAAGGUUAACCGAAUAGGGGAGCCGGAGGGAAACCGAGUCUUAACCGGGCGUUAAGUUGCAGGGUAUAGACCCGAAACCCGGUGAUCUAGCCAUGGGCAGGUUGAAGGUUGGGUAACACUAACUGGAGGACCGAACCGACUAAUGUUGAAAAAUUAGCGGAUGACCUGUGGCUGGGGGUGAAAGGCCAAUCAAACCGGGAGAUAGCUGGUUCUCCCCGAAAGCUAUUUAGGUAGCGCCUCGUGAAUUCAUCUCCGGGGGUAGAGCACUGUUUCGGCUAGGGGGCCAUCCCGGCUUACCAACCCGAUGCAAACUGCGAAUACCGGAGAAUGUUAUCACGGGAGACACACGGCGGGUGCUAACGUCCGUCGUGAAGAGGGAAACAACCCAGACCGCCAGCUAAGGUCCCAAAGUCAUGGUUAAGUGGGAAACGAUGUGGGAAGGCCCAGACAGCCAGGAUGUUGGCUUAGAAGCAGCCAUCAUUUAAAGAAAGCGUAAUAGCUCACUGGUCGAGUCGGCCUGCGCGGAAGAUGUAACGGGGCUAAACCAUGCACCGAAGCUGCGGCAGCGA
rnacentral:rRNA from 1 species